UUGUUUUUUUCUUCUCUAUUUUGUUUUCCAUGGAAUUCAAGGUUGGGUGAGUAAAGAAAGGAAUCUGAUAAACUCGAGCAGGCCUGGAACUUUUCCCAGAGCCCGUGGGGCAGAGAACCAAAUUGUACAGACACACCCUCUCGGCCAGAGCAUUCUUUUAAAACAGCCACUCCGGCCGGCUCAGUUCCUGUCUGUACCUCUGAGAAAGGACAGCCCUGCCGUCAGAGUGGAAAUAGAGGGCUUCACUCCCCUGCCUUCCCUUGAGCCGAGCAUGCAGGAGACGCAGAGCAGAGAGAGGUCAGGCAGCCUGCCCGAGGUCACACAGCAGGGAAGAGGGUGCUCUGUGUGGUGCAAAGGAAAUCCUGCCAGACCACAGAGCACCCAUGACCAGCCUGCUGGAGCGGCUCUUGGAAGAGAAGUCGCUUUGGAAUCAAAGGUCAUGAGCCAAGGACUACUCCCCAGGGGCUGGAGGGAGACGCCCUCAUUCCUCCCCGGACCCAGACGGUGAACGCGUCUCUCCUCUUCUCUGGCCGCCGGUGACCUGAGGUGCCAACUUCACGCACGGACCUGGCAGCUCCGAGGGGCCCAGCAAACUCUGUCCCGGGAGACCUCAGCUCGUGAGCCAAACGAGAGGCUCCAUGACACGUUGUGUUAUUGUUUUGUUCCCAGACCAACAAAGAAAAGCUCGGUGGGCAGCGCCAGCUGGCUCAUCUGGUAAAGGAGAACUUUGAGGCCGGGAAGCUUCCAGAUAGAGGCCGCGCGCUGGCUCAAGCAGCCCUGGGCACCUGCAGGCCUCUCCAGGCCACCGGGCUCCCCGACGCUCUCACGUGCUGACCCUCGCUGGACAUGCCCAGCGUUCGCCCCUUCGCUGCCCUUCUUCACUCUCCGAGUCUUGGCUGAAGUGUUUCCUUCCGGGUGAAACUUCCCUUCAGCCGCGCGGUCUGCGUCGGCUCCCCUCUUCCCAACCACAUCAUUUCCUGUUCCCUUGUUUUCCCUCAUGUCCUGACCACAUGAGCAUCUGUAUGCGCUCGUUUGUGGGUUCGCCUGUUUACGGUGUCUUGCCCUCACAAAGCCGUGCGUUCCCCCAGGGCGUGGAUUAUUCUUUCUUAUCUACCUGCUCAGGCGCAGUGUGUAGUUUCUGGCACGUCGAAGAGGCCUGCGUCAGUCAGGAUAAAUUCGGUUAUGCCGCAGCGACACAUAUCCCCAGACUGUACGUAAGGACUUAAAGCAACCCUCAGGGGUUCAGGCCGGUAGGACCGCCCACCUUGACUUCCUGCUUUCCAUAGCAGAAAGAAGGAACUAUGGGGAAUCACACACCGGAGUUUAAAGUUUUUACCCAGAAGUGACCUACUUCCCUCCGUUUCAUUGACCAAAGCAGCUCACACAGCCCUGAAGAGUCAGAAGGAAACAGAGGCAAAACAUUUCGGAAGAGCCCCAAGGUCAACAGCCAAAACGGUCAUAGUUGUCCAGGUCUUCUGCAUUCAUGACCCUGUACACAGAGAUUCUGUAGCUCUACCUUCAAGAAAUGGUGGAAUCCAUCUCUGCCUCCUGGAGUCUUGGUUGGCCGUGACUCGCUAUGAAAAACACAAUGUGGAGGAGGUGAUGCUGUGGCAUCUACAACCUAGGCUCAGAGGCCUUGCGCCAUCCCACCCGUUCUCUUAGAACCUGGGUCGGCCUUCUGGAAAACGAGACCUGUGGCCCAGUCAUACACGAGCAAGCCAACUGGUGGACAUAGGAGGGAGGUCUUGUAAUAUCAGCCAGAAAGCCCAGCCAACUUCAGCUGACCCUUGACCAGAUGAUCACUGCUUCCCCCGCCCCAGUGGCUUGUGAGAAAUAA